UAAUAAUCCGCGCCUCACAGCUGCACGCGGCCAUAUCCUCUAACAAUCCCGCGAUGGCUGCGGGGGAGCGAGGUGGGACCAACUCACGUUCCGCUGGCGGUGGAAGGGUUGGGUACAUCCACAGCCAGGCCAGGGUGGUCAAUCCCAGACGACUGGCGACGUUCUCGACUCGCGUACGCUGGUAGGUGGAGAGGAUGGCGCCGGAGCAGACGGCGUUGGCAGUUGGGUGGACCGUUAGUAUCUGUUGGAGGAGGUGGAAGAUAGAUUCUGUUUCGUCUGUUGCUGCUGCUGCUGCUGCUGCUGAUGUUGAUGAUGUUGAUGAUGAUGAUGACGGUGGAGGAGGUUCCUGAUAGUCGCGCGAUGUGUUGAUGGCUGUGCCGUGGAUCGGGGCACGGUAGAGCGGGAUGCCCAGGGCGGACUGGUACAGGUGGAUUAUGCUGUGGCCGACUGUUUGGUACAUGUAACUGUGGAGGUCUUCUUCUUCUACGACGACGUCGUCGUCGUCGUCAUCUUCCUCUUCUUUCCCCAAUUGGCCAAGCGGUCCAUCUCCGUUACCUUCCUCCUCGCCGGCUCUAUCCUUUUGGACAACAUCUCCAUCCCGGUCGUCGCAUCGCAACGACCCCGCCGUUAAGUAUGUAGCAUAAUUAGAGCUGCGCUGUGGCUGCGGAGACGGAUGGAGGUUCGCGAGCGCAACAACCUUGUGUCCAUUUUUGAGACAGUGGAGGAUGGUGUAGAGAGAGUCUUUGCCGCCAGAUAUCAGGGCAAUGACGUUGAGUUGUUGUUGUCGUUGUUGGUGUGGCAUGGUGAAAAUCUUGAACAGAUUCCAAGAUCCAAAGAUCCAGGGGGCCGCGUUCCAGUUGCGGGUUACCCGAUUGACCAAAGUCUAGUUGGGGUCUCAGCGCCAGCAACAGGACUAUGUACAGUACAACUGAAAGUAGAUAUAAUAAGACA
rnacentral:sRNA from 1 species